rnacentral:rRNA from 1 species
GACGAACGCUGGCGGCGUGCUUAACACAUGCAAGUCGAACGGAAAGGCCCUGCUUUUGUGGGGUGCUCGAGUGGCGAACGGGUGGGUAACACGUGAGUAACCUGCCCUUGACUUUGGGAUAACUUCAGGAAACUGGGGCUAAUACCGGAUAGGAGCUCCUGCUGCAUGGUGGGGGUUGGAAAGUUUCGGCGGUUGGGGAUGGACUCGCGGCUUAUCAGCUUGUUGGUGGGGUAGUGGCUUACCAAGGCUUUGACGGGUAGCCGGCCUGAGAGGGUGACCGGCCACAUUGGGACUGAGAUACGGCCCAGACUCCUACGGGAGGCAGCAGUGGGGAAUAUUGCACAAUGGGCGGAAGCCUGAUGCAGCAACGCCGCGUGCGGGAUGACGGCCUUCGGGUUGUAAACCGCUUUCGCCUGUGACGAAGCGUGAGUGACGGUAAUGGGUAAAGAAGCACCGGCUAACUACGUGCCAGCAGCCGCGGUGAUACGUAGGGUGCGAGCGUUGUCCGGAUUUAUUGGGCGUAAAGGGCUCGUAGGUGGUUGAUCGCGUCGGAAGUGUAAUCUUGGGGCUUAACCCUGAGCGUGCUUUCGAUACGGGUUGACUUGAGGAAGGUAGGGGAGAAUGGAAUUCCUGGUGGAGCGGUGGAAUGCGCAGAUAUCAGGAGGAACACCAGUGGCGAAGGCGGUUCUCUGGGCCUUUCCUGACGCUGAGGAGCGAAAGCGUGGGGAGCGAACAGGCUUAGAUACCCUGGUAGUCCACGCUGUAAACGGUGGGUACUAGGUGUGGGGUCCAUUCCACGGGUUCCGUGCCGUAGCUAACGCUUUAAGUACCCCGCCUGGGGAGUACGGCCGCAAGGCUAAAACUCAAAGGAAUUGACGGGGCCCCGCACAAGCGGCGGAGCAUGCGGAUUAAUUCGAUGCAACGCGUAGAACCUUACCUGGGUUUGACAUGGAUCGGGAGUGCUCAGAGAUGGGUGUGCCUCUUUUGGGGUCGGUUCACAGGUGGUGCAUGGCUGUCGUCAGCUCGUGUCGUGAGAUGUUGGGUUAAGUCCCGCAACGAGCGCAACCCUUGUUCACUGUUGCCAGCACGUUAUGGUGGGGACUCAGUGGAGACCGCCGGGGUCAACUCGGAGGAAGGUGGGGAUGACGUCAAGUCAUCAUGCCCCUUAUGUCCAGGGCUUCACGCAUGCUACAAUGGCUGGUACAGGGAGUGGCGAGCCUGUGAGGGUGAGCGAAUCUCGGAAAGCCGGUCUUAGUUCGGAUUGGGGUCUGCAACUCGACCUCAUGAAGUCGGAGUCGCUAGUAAUCGCAGAUCAGCAACGCUGCGGUGAAUACGUUCCCGGG